AUGCUCUGGUUUCUCUUCAUAACGAAUUAAUCUUUUGCCUUUUACUAAAGAUUUUCACGGAGAGAAACAAUUAUGAGUUUAUGACUGAAUUUUUUGAUGUCCUGCUUAGGCAGGGCU
ensembl:snRNA U5 U5 spliceosomal RNA